GCCAGGAGGUUGGCUCAGAAGCAGCCACCCUUGAAAGAGUGCGUAACAGCUCACUGGUCUAGUGGUUCCGCGCCGACAAUGUAGCGGGGCUCAAGCACACCACCGAAGACGCGGCAGUAUUUUGUACUGGGUAGGAGAGCGUCCCAUGAGGGGCGAAGCGGCCGUGUGAACGCGCCGUGGACUUCAUGGGAGUGAGAAUGCAGACAUGAGUAGCGAGAGACGGGUGAAGAUCCCGUCCGCUGGAUGACCAAGGGUUCCAGGGCCACGUUCAUCGUCCCUGGGUGAGUCGGGUCCUAAGGCGAGGCCGACAGGCGUAGUCGAAUGGAUGAACGGGUCGAUAUUCCCGUACCGGCUUUCAGCCGCCAAAACCGAGGCUUGGAGUACUAACCUCCGGGUCCGGGCUUACUGCUCCUUCGGGGGCGGGAUGCCCUGGCCUGUUGGGACCGAUCCUUGUAGUAGGUCAGCGCAGGAGUGACGCAGAAGGGUAGCCGGCCGCGGAGGUGGUCUUCCGUGGUCAAGCACGCAGGGCGUGGGACAGGCAAAUCCGUCCCGCAUGGGUCCGAGGUGCGAUGAUGGGGGCCUUAUGGCCCGAUAUCCGGUGAUCCCGGCUGCCGAGAAAAGCUUCGGCGUCAGGCUCGAAGCCGCCCGUACCCCAAACCGACACUGGUGGUCAGGUAGAGAAUACCAAAGCGAUCGAGCGAAUCCUGGUCAAGGAACUCGGCAAAUCACUCCCGUUCCUUCGGUUUAAGGGAGACCCCCGAUGGUGAACACGCUUGCUGUGGGAGCUUUUGGGGGUGGCACAGACCAGGGGGUAGCGACUGUUUACCAAAAACACAGGUGCAUGCGAAGGCGCAAGCCGCUGUAUAUGCACUGACGCCUGCCCGGUGCCGGAAGGUUAAGAGGAUCCGUCAGCCAGGAGCUCGGCGAAAUUGCAGUACGAGUAAAGAUGCUCGUUAAGCGCAGAAGGACGAAAAGACCCCGGGACCUUUACUAUACCUUGGUAUUGGCAUUCGGUGUGGAUUGUGUAGCAUAGGCGGGAGGCCGAGAGGCGCGGUCGCCAGAUCGCGCGGAGCCGUAAGGUGAAAUACCGCUCUGUUCGCAUUGGAUGUCUAACCUCGAACAGUCAUCCUGUUCAGGGACAGUGCCUGGCGGGUAGUUUAACUGGGGCGGUUGCCUCCCAAAGAGUAACGGAGGCGCCCAAAGGUCCGCUCAGCCCGGUUGGCAAUCGGGUGGCGAGUGCAAGUGCACAAGCGGGCUUGACUGCGAGGACGACGGUCCGAGCAGGGACGAAAGUCGGGACUAGUGAUCCGGUGCCGGUGUACGGACGCGGCAUCGCUCAACGGAUAAAAGGUACCCCGGGGAUAACAGGCUGAUCAUUCCCAAGAGUCCAUAUCGACUCCCAAGAGUCCAUAUCGACGGGAUGGUUUGGCACCUCGAUGUCGGCUCGUCGCAUCCUGGGGCUGGAGCAGGUCCCAAGGGUUCGGCUGUUCGCCGAUCAAAGCGGCACGCGAGCUGGGUUCAGAACGUCGUGAGACAGUUUGGUCUCUAUCCUCUGCGCUCGUUGGAAUCUUGAGGAGGCCUGCCCAUAGUACGAGAGGACCUGGGUGGACGAACCUCUGGUAUGCCGGUCGUCACGCCAGUGGCGCGGCCGGUUGGCUACGUUCGGAAGGGAUAACCGCUGAAAGCAUCUAAGCGGGAAGCCUUCUCCAAGAUAAGGAUUCCAUGCGGCCCCGAGCCGCUGAAGACCCCAUGCAGAACACGUGGUCGAUAGGCCGGACGUGGAAGCCCCGCGAGGGGUGGAGCCGACCGGUACUAAUGGUCGAGAGGCAACCCA
rnacentral:rRNA from 1 species